AAGGACAUCCAGCUGGCCCGCCGC
rnacentral:piRNA from 1 species